CCCCCCGGUAGCCCAACUGGCAGAGGCAGAGUCCUUAAAAGGUUCCCAGGUGUGGGUUCGACUCCCACCGGGGGGG
rnacentral:tRNA from 1 species